AACAAAGUUUUGCAGAACUUGAUUAUAUCACAGGUAUGCUGUAAGGAAGAAAAUCGGAUUUUUUUUGACAGUGUGCGGAGUGAGGCGAAGUGACCAACUGAGUAAGAGAGAGGCACCUGAAUCUGCCCCUUUUAUGCUCAGUCGAGGGACUUCUCGAAUGUUCUAGCAAACUGAGCACAUGAAGGUUUUGUGAUUCUCGAGCAGACCAGAUGGUUAUUGAGUAAAGGAAUAAAAAAGGAGAGAAUUGACAAAUUACUUCAGAACUCUUCUGCAGAUAGUAAAGAUCUAGCAAGAGACUCGGCCUUUGUUCAAGAUUAUGACAACCUUUCUCACCAUGAUGAGUCCACUUGGUUUGUAAGUGAGUGUUCAAAAUCACAAGCUAAGCUCUUACUGAGUGGAAAACGUAAUGGAACCUUCCUUAUCCGUAAUAGUUCAACUGGCGAGUUUGCUUUAUCUAUUGUAGCUGAUGGUAAGGUAGAGCACUGUCUCAUCCAUAAGACAAGUACAGGAUAUGGUUUUGCUGAACCAUAUAAUAUACAUCCCACGUUGAAAAGUUUGGUGCUUCACUAUGCUCAGACUUCACUUCAGGAAUACCACGAUGUUUUACGAACAUCUCUGGUUCAUCCUGUGUAUGCAUCACAGUCAGAUCAAUACAUUAAUAUUUCCAACUGAUGGAAGGUUGUAGCACACUGCUGUAGUUUUAAUGUGUAUAGAAAACAUUUUAGAUCAUUUAUAGACUACUAUUGUUUUUUUCACUGAGCUGAAGAGAAAGAUAAACAGAGGAACAGAAGUAAAAGGAUGAAACUUUGUUAUUACUUGGUUUCCUUAUCAGUAUAUUUUCACAAAAAAUAGUACAAGUUCCUAUUUUAUCCUGAAAAAAAUCUUUCUCUUUAGUUUGGUGUCAUGAGAUUGUUGAAACUUUUCAUUAUCUUCAGGUUUUAAAGGUAGUAAGUGUGUCAUGUACAUUUGUACAGGCUUCUAUCAUAGGUUUAAAGUGUUAAUUGUAGUAAUUGUUAAUGAAAAUUUUCAAGUGUAGCAAGAACUUAUCUGCUAAAAUUAUGUGUAACAUUUCUGUGGUAAAAGUAAUUGUUAAAUGUUAAUGUUGUUAUUUUUUUAUAUCUAAAUAAUUCUUUUUCACAAAAUGUGAUCAGAUGUAUAUUAACCAAAUUGGUAAAAAAGUAUGCUAAUGUUUUUUCAAUAAAACACACGAGUGUGAAACAACUGUGAAAGAAACAGUAAUAUAUAUCUAUUAAAAUAAAUCUUGUAGCAAGUACCUAAUAAAUAUGUAAUUGCAAAACAUCUUGUAAAUGCUACCUGUUUUUGAUUCACUCUUUUAAGAACAAUAUGAUUUAAUGUUAAAAAGUAAGUCUGAGAUAUAGAUAUUUUUGUGCACACUUUUCUUACAACUCCAAAAUGUGAUGUUGUAUUAAAAUAAGCAAGAACAUGUCAUGACAUGGCUGGCACCAUAAGUAGGGUAGUGUACAUAUUACUGUUCUGGAUUAAAAUAUUACAAAAGUUAGCUGUUCAUCAGAAAGUAGAUAUUUGUAGUUUUUAUACUAAAAUAUAAAUAUGGAAAAGUAGUUUAAUAACAUCUUUAUACUUGUGUUCGUGUUGUUCAAUUAUUGUCAUCGUAGCAUAGUGACCAUUCUUGUACUAAGAGAAGAAUUAUUUCAUGUGACAUGAUCAUUAGGGUUAAAGUUUACAUUGUAUGAGGUGUGAUAAAAAUUUUCAUCACUGCUAUACGUGCUCAUAGUAAUUUUCAAAUAUUUACAUUAUCAGAUGUGAUAAAAAAAACAACCUUAAUGGACUGUUGUAGAGAAACAAUUGAUUUUGUUAUAAGCCUGAAGAAUGCAUCAACAUAAUGAUUAUAAAUUAUUUCUUGACGUGCAUUUCAAGUUGUGGGCAAAAUGUUUUUGAUUGUGAAAUAUAUAUUUGGUAAUUUUUUACCCUGAAAAAAAAAACUUAUCUAGCUUCUGGAUUAUAAUUAUAUUUCAACAUUGGCUUAGUCAGUAUUGAAUAAGUUUAACAGUAUUUAAAGUUUGUUUCUGUCGGCAGUCACUGAGUGUUUCAGUAAAUUUGUAUUUUAAAAUAUUUUUUGAGCCGUAUGUGAUUAAUCUCUGUGAUUUUACCAUUGCAACACAGAGAAUUAUAAUCUAAGUAAACAUUUUUUCUAUUUUUGUUAGUGACAUUAUAUCUUUUAUAAAAAGAAAAAAAACAGUGUACCAAGGUCAAGCAGUUACCCAUUAAACUUAUUGAAAAUAUUAAAACAGUAAUAUUUUAUAUUACUUGUAGAGACUGAAAAAUGAGAUUGUUUCCAUAAAAAUAGAAUGUGCAAAUUAAAUAGAAUUAUGGUAUGAACUAGCUAUAUUUUGAUGCAGUUGGUUAAGCAAAAACAGAUAUUUAUAUCGCAAGUCAGGAAGCUUUUUUUAAAAUUAGAACUAGUUUAAGUUAAUGAAGGUAAUAUUUCAAAUUACUUAUGGAUUAAAAAUGAAUAAAAAAUAUCGAUAUAAGGGAAAUAAAAAUGUAAAAAGCUAUAGUAUGAGUAAGUCAUAUUUGUCAAAGAAAAAUUUAUUUUUUGUGAAAUGUCGAAGGCCUUUUUUUUUACUUUAACUUCAUUUUAUACCUAGUAACUGUGUACAGAUAAGCUUAAUGUUAAUAAUAUGUGAUAUGAUCUAUCAGGGUGAUUAAUCUUUUUUUAAAUUGGAGUCAUAUGUACUGUUCAGAAACAGGAUAUUGGCUAGUAACAAUGUGCGAGGUAAGAAAAAUCAAUUACUUUUGUGUAGUUUUUCAAUUGAAGUUUCCAGUGAUAUAAAUAUAUUUGUAUAUAUGAAACUAAAGCUAAUAUUAAAAGGUUACGAGGCAAGUCGAAUUGAAUUGAUUUACACAUUCUAAAUGGUGGAUCUACAGUACUUGGAUUUUCUAUUUUCUUCAUUUUGGAUCAUUUUCUUACAUACUUUUAAAUAUAAACACAAUCGUGGUUCAAUAAUUUGUACUCCUUUUUAUUCUUGAACCAAUUUCUGUUGAGUUUCUACAGCAGUUUUAUUUGUAUACUUGACAUAAGAAAACUGUUUUAGUUUAUGUCUUUCCUCUCUUAAGGGUAUUUGCUAUUCAAGUAAUAUGAAAUGAUGUAUUUAGAAUGUUUAUCAUUUCUUAAUAUACCAUUCUUAAGUAUGAUUAUUUUUCAUACAUCAGAGGUUAAAAGUUUCAUCUGAAUUAAAGGCUUCUUGUCACACAUGGAUAUUCUUUCUUUUUCUGAAAGGUUAGGGUAAAUAUAAUUUCAAACUUGAAUAUUCUUAACACAGUUUAAUAGUUUUAUGAUUAGUUUAAUAAUUAGUUUGCUCCUCAUAAAGAAAUGGCAAAAAUAUGUAAAAUCACUUUGUUAGUAAAAGGAUCCACUGUCA